rnacentral:rRNA from 1 species
UACGUAGGUCCCGAGCGUUGUCCGGAUUUAUUGGGCGUAAAGCGAGCGCAGGUGGUUUAUUAAGUCUGGUGUAAAAGGCAGUGGCUCAACCAUUGUAUGCAUUGGAAACUGGUAGACUUGAGUGCAGGAGAGGAGAGUGGAAUUCCAUGUGUAGCGGUGAAAUGCGUAGAUAUAUGGAGGAACACCGGUGACGAAAGCGGCUCUCUGGCCUGUAACUGACACUGAGGCUCGAAAACGUGGGGAGCAAACAGG